rnacentral:rRNA from 1 species
UAAGGGGCGCUUUUAUUAGAUCAACAACCAAACGGCUUCGGCUGUUCUCUUGGUGACUCUGAAUAACUUUGGGCUGAUCGCAUAGCCUAGCGCUGGCGACAUAUCCUUCGAAGGUGUGCCCUAUCAACUGUCGACUGUGGCAUAGACGCCCACAGUGGUUUUGACGGGUAACGGGGAAUCAGGGUUCGAUUCCGGAGAGGGAGCCUUAGAAACGGGCUACCACAUCUAAGGAAGGCAGCAGGCACGCAAAUUACCCAAUGACCGGAAGGUCGAGGUAGUGACGAAAAAUAACGAUACGGGACUCAUCUGAGGCCCCGUAAUCGGAAUGAGUACACUUUAAAACCGUCCCCGAGGAUCUAUUGGAGGGCAAGUCUGGUGCCAGCAGCCGCGGUAAUUCCAGCUCCAAUAGCGUAUAUUAAAGUUGUUGUGGUUAAAAAGCUCGUAGUUGGAUCUCGGCGGUCUGAGGGCGGUUCACUUGCUAGUGCUACUGCCCUAUAGACCGUAGUUUUGCCAGAGGUCUCAGGGUGCUCUUAAUCGAGUGUCUUGUGAUGCUGGCAGGUUUACUUUGAAAAAAUUAGAGUGCUCAAAGCAGGCUUUUACGCCUGAAUAUUCGUGCAUGGAAUAAUAGAAUAGGAAGUCGUUUCUAUUUUGUUGGUUUUCGGAAAUCGACUUAAUGAAUAAUAGGGACAGUUUGGGGGCAUCG